AAUGAACGUUGGCGGCGUGGAUUAGGCAUGCAAGUCGAGCGUGUACCCGCAAGGGGAAAGCGGCAAACGGGGUAGGAACGCGUAGGUCACGUACCCCUCGGCCGGGGAUAGCCACGGGAAACUGUGGGUAAUACCCGAUGACGCCGAGAGGCCAAAGGUGUGAUUCCGCCGGGGGAGCGGCCUGCGAAGUAUUAGCUAGUUGGUGAGGUAACGGCUCACCAAGGCGAAGAUGCUUAGGGGGUGUGAGAGCAUGACCCCCACCACUGGGACUGAGAUACUGCCCAGACACCUACGGGUGGCUGCAGUCGAGAAUCUUCGGCAAUGGGGGCAACCCUGACCGAGCGACGCCGCGUGUGGGAUGAAGGCCCUUGGGUUGUAAACCACUGUCAGAGGGGAUGAAACGAUCAUGGGUUCUCCCAUGGUCCUGACAUAGCCUCAGAGGAAGCACGGGCUAAGUUCGUGCCAGCAGCCGCGGUAAUACGAACUGUGCAAACGUUAUUCGGAAUCACUGGGA
rnacentral:rRNA from 1 species